GGGACACGUGGUAUCCUGUCUGAAUAUGGGGGGACCAUCCUCCAAGGCUAAAUACUCCUGACUGACCGAUAGUGAACCAGUACCGUGAGGGAAAGGCGAAAAGAACCCCGGCGAGGGGAGUGAAAAAGAACCUGAAACCGUGUACGUACAAGCAGUGGGAGCACCUUCGGGUGUGACUGCGUACCUUUUGUAUAAUGGGUCAGCGACUUAUAUUCUGUAGCAAGGUUAACCGUAUAGGGGAGCCGCAGGGAAACCGAGUCUUAACUGGGCGUUAAGUUGCAGGGUAUAGACCCGAAACCCGGUGAUCUAGCCAUGGGCAGGUUGAAGGUUGGGUAACACUAACUGGAGGACCGAACCGACUAAUGUUGAAAAAUUAGCGGAUGACUUGUGGCUGGGGGUGAAAGGCCAAUCAAACCGGGAGAUAGCUGGUUCUCCCCGAAAGCUAUUUAGGUAGCGCCUCGUGAACUCAUCUUCGGGGGUAGAGCACUGUUUCGGCUAGGGGGUCAUCCCGACUUACCAACCCGAUGCAAACUACGAAUACCGAAGAAUGUUAUCACGGGAGACACACGGCGGGUGCUAACGUCCGUCGUGAAGAGGGAAACAACCCAGACCGCCAGCUAAGGUCCCAAAGUCAUGGUUAAGUGGGAAACGAUGUGGGAAGGCACAGACAGCCAGGAUGUUGGCUUAGAAGCAGCCAUCAUUUAAAGAAAGCGUAAUAGCUCACUGGUCGAGUCGGCCUGCGCGGAAGAUGUAACGGGGCUAAACCAUGCACCGAAGCUGCGGCAGCGACACUAUGUGUUG
rnacentral:rRNA from 1 species